rnacentral:tRNA from 1 species
GACAAGAUGGCCGAGUGGUUAAGGCGUACCGUUCAAGUCACAUGAACACUUGGAGAUUCAUAAAGAUUUCCUAAUCCGGUAUGGGGAAACCCUCGUGAGUUCGAGUCUCGCUCUUGUCA